rnacentral:lncRNA from 1 species
UAAAAUUGACGGGAGGAGGCCGGGUCAUUCACAUUUGAAUUGAAGGUCAGAGGCGAAUACCCAUUACAAAAUUGGAAUAGCGAGAAUAGCGAGUCUUGUGAUAGUAAAUACAAGUAACAUACUAUCAAAAUGGAAACAUUGACCGCAACCAUGCAAGCAAACUCAAUACAAAUAACAUAGUACAUGUUUUGUUAACAAAAGAUCAUAAUUGUCACAAUAAACAUAGUUCUCUCACAAAUGAAAAUAGUUUUUGACAACUAAUCGUAGUUCUUAGAAUAAACAUAAACAUAGUUAUCUCAUAAAUGAACAUAGUUUUGACAACUAAAGAGAAACAUGAUCCAGCUAAAUCAACACGUUCAUCUAGUCCGAGUCACCUUCAUAUAGUAACUCAUCAUCAUCAUCAUCAUCAUCAUCAUCAUCAUCAUCCCCGGCAAUAACAACUCCCUUCCCUUUCUUAUCGACAUUAACCUUACCAACAGGUAAAUUGGCAACAAGAGCCUUCAUCAUCUCCAUCUGUGCCUCUUCCGCUUUUUGUUGUAACUUUUCCAUUUCAAUCCUUCUCUUUCUUGCCCUAACCUACUGCAAAUAUUCUUCCCAUGAACCCUUAGGAUAUUUCGCAUUCGGAUCAACCACAUAACCUAAGCGAUCUCUUUCCUCCCUCAACCUUUGUUUCUCCAACUCCCUCUCCUCCUGCAACUUCCUCCUAUUUUCUCUCUUCUCAUUUUCAGUUAGAGGUCGUGGAUACUUGGAUCUAUUCUACCUCCAAUACUUAAUAAUAGUUUCCCCCGCAUAAAGUCCUUCAGGCUCCACUCCAGUCUCAUGCACCAUAUCUUGAUAUAUUUUCCCCCAAAGCAAGUCGUCGUCAGGGAUAGGCACAUCAUACUCCUUCCUAAUCUUUUCUAUCAGUUCUUGUUGUUUUCUUGACUUCCAUGGUUCCGAUGUAUUACCCAACUUUAAUAACAAAUCACAAUGACCAAAAAAAUCUUCCCAAUCACAUGUCCUUCCCUCCUGCAAUAACAAUUUCAUAUUCUUACAAAUUUGAAACAAGUUCCAACCUUAAUAACCCUUAAUAACACACAAGAGACGAGUAGUUACUAACCCAAUAAUCACCAUGUGCAUUUCCACAGAACGAACCAUAUCCAAGUUCAGAAGGCACCACACCUUGUGUUGUCAAUAUACCAC